CCUUCGGCUGUAGUAAAAAUACAACUCCUGCCACGUUCUACACUGCCUCCUCCAGUCGGCCUAGUUCUACAGCACCAGGCCUUUUAUUAUUGACAACCUUGUGACUAGGUCAUGUGACUGAUAUACAAACAAUAUGGCCCUUAUUUACCAAGAGUGUUGUGUAGGUUUCUUUGGGGGUUUUAAUUCCCUACAAUUUAUUUUCCACGGUAUUUACUAAGGUUUCCCUACAUUUUCCACUUUCCCUACAUUUUGAUUCUUUUACACAUGCUCUGAUCUGUCGGGUUUUCCUCAGCUUAAAUCCACCACAUUUUCUGAGGAAACCUUAGUAAAUAAGUUGGGUUUUUGUGAAAAUGUCGGGGACACACCCCUUUUCGGUGACCAUGUCCCCUUUUCCGAUAGUCACACCCCUUUUUCGGGUUUUCUAAGCAAAAUGGAGGGUUAGUCUGGGUUUUUUCAAUUCUGGUGCAAAUUCUGGCGCAGACAGUAUUUUUGGUGCAAUGCGCCAGAAUCUGGCGCACAACCCGACAAAACAUGUAAAUGAGGGCCUAUAUAACCAUGUAUAACCUGAGCCGUGCCUACAACCUUUACGUGCAGUUAUGGCCAACUGCGGGCACCAGGGCUGGUCCAAGGAUUUUUGUCACCCUAGACAAAAGCUAAUUUUGCCACACCCCCUUGACGCUGCCCAUUGGCUCGCUUUUUGACACACCCUGCCUUACCACUGGGGUGACACACUGUAACAAGCUCGCUCCUCGUGUAACUAGCUCACUACUGGGUGACACACUGUAACAAACCUCCUCCUCAUGCUGCUGGCUGAGCGAGCAGUUUGAAUGCUGGUUGUCUAUCUUUCUUGUGGAAGGCAGAGCGAUGCCCCCAUUAAGAGAGUGCUCUAGGCAGCUGCCUAUUUUCCCUAUAGGCAAAGCCGACUCUGACUACGGGUGUUGAUCCUUCUUGAUCUGAUGGCUGGCAUGGUGAGAUGCAACCGCACACAGAGUGGACAGAUUGCCAAGGCACUCAUUCGAUGUUUAGAUACAGUUAAACUACGGAAUUUCCAAGAGCAAUUUAACUCCCGAUGCAGCAGCCCCUGUGAAAUUUCUGGAUUCCGGGUCCAGCGGAAUUCUGCGCAAACUGCAUUGUGAAGUAUCAAUGUGUUACGAUGAUGUAAGAAGAUUCUCCAGAACCAGUGUCACCUUCAUGGAGCAAAGUACGUCUCAAACCUCCACUUCUGAAGACUGUUUGUAGGGCUGCAUCCAUUGAUUUGUACUUUCUCUUGAGAAGCUUCUACCUCCAGACAUGUCGGAUUCUUCAUGUUUUCUAGUACUAGAUGGUCGGACUAUAAAAAAAACAGACACCAAAGAGUCAGAAAAAAAUGUAAAGUAGAAGACAACAUGUAUGGAGAAACCAAGCCUUUUAGUAAGAAAA